UUAGGAACCAUCGACCACUUGAU
rnacentral:miRNA from 1 species